GAUGCCAUAUAUGGAUACGAUUAUUUGACACGCCUCUUCUACUUUUCUAUAAAGACCGACUGUUGUGCCACACGUGCUGAACAUCAGCAAGUCGUUCACACAUCGUUUACUUGCUCUACCUCAACACGCUGAACCAUUCAUCAUGAUGACCCUGCUCCGGGUAGCUGUGACCCUGCUGCUGGUGUGUGUCAUGGUGGAACUCAGUCUGCAAGGAGACCCCUGUGCUGAUAAGAGUGGCUGGCUGUUACUUAAGUGUUGUCUUCAGAACCCGGUAUCACCGUCAUGCCGUACCAGUGAUGGAUAGCGAACACGGUAGGGUCUCGUUGCCAUUGGUAUCCGAAGCCACUUCUGGUCAAGAGUAACACCAUGCCUAACUGCUACCGGUGGCGAAUAACCACCAGUCUUGUCACUAGUGUAGCGAAUUGUAACACAUUCAGCAGAAAUGGUUUCGUUUUAUCUGCUCCGAAAUGAAUAUAUUUUGUAUGAACGCAAUGCUUUCGACUUAAUCUUGAAUUGAAUAAAUCACAUAGAGCUCA